UGAGGCAGGAGAAUUGCUUGAACCCAGGAGGCGGAGGCUGCAGUGAGCCGAGAUUGAGACACUGCACUCCAGCCUGGGCAACACAGCAAGACUCCGUCUCA
rnacentral:miRNA from 1 species